GACUGAACACCAGGAGCACCCUGAUGAGGUGACGUUAGACUGCUCUGUGGAGACAUAUAGCAGGCUGGUAGACCUCAGUGAAGGUGGCUGCUCAGGGUCGAGAUGUGGAUAAAAUUCAGCAGAGAUAUAAAGACAUCACAGCUCCUGCUGCCUCUGUGACAUUUCUGACUUCUCCUUAGUUACACAUCAGGUCUGAGUUAUUUACUUGUGGAAGUAACUAAUGGUUACACAGGAGAAGUUCAUCAGUUUCCCUUCAGCCCUCAGUCCUCAGGCGAGGACACAAAACCAGCAACAACUAAAAACAACUUAAACUCAGGUCUCUUGAGGCUCAUCCUGGUGUCUGUGGGGUUAGCGGCUCUCAUCAUCACCGUGGUUACAGUCAACAUAUGGAUAAGGGCUAAAGGGAGCAAAGCACAGACGGAAGAAAACAUGGUGAGUUUGAACAUUGAAUAAUUAAAUGUGUGUAUUAUUUGUUAUCCAACUUUAACAGUGGAU